rnacentral:rRNA from 1 species
GACGAACGCUGGCGGCGUGCUUAACACAUGCAAGUCGAACGGAAAGGCCCUGCUUUUGUGGGGUGCUCGAGUGGCGAACGGGUGAGUAACACGUGAGUAACCUGCCCUUGACUUUGGGAUAACUUCAGGAAACUGGGGCUAAUACCGGAUAGGAGCUCCUGCUGCAUGGUGGGGGUUGGAAAGUUUCGGCGGUUGGGGAUGGACUCGAGGCUUAUCAGCUUGUUGGUGGGGUAGUGGCUUACCAAGGCUUUGACGGGUAGCCGGCCUGAGAGGGUGACCGGCCACAUUGGGACUGAGAUACGGCCCAGACUCCUACGGGAGGCAGCAGUGGGGAAUAUUGCACAAUGGGCGGAAGGCUGAUGCAGCAACGCCGCGUGCGGGAUGACGGCCUUCGGGUUGUAAACCGCUUUCGCCUGUGACGAAGCGUGAGUGAAGGUAAUGGGUAAAGAAGCACCGGCUAACUACGUG